UAAUCUAAUUAAAAGAUACAUAGAACAGUAUUUAUAAUGUUACAGUCAAACCAAAUUGUACCUCUCACUCCAUACUUUACAAACAACUCAUGGCCAUUUAUUUUAAACUGGUAUUUGUUCAAAAUGCAACAGCCUUUCUUAAGGCUUGAACACUUCCCCAUUUUUAAUACAGACCCCUGUAGGAAAUGGAUUCACAUUUGACUUUCUACCGCUGGUUUCAUCAUGAUUGGGUUUAUAAACACAUUUUCUUAUAAAGUCAAGUACAAUUCUUUUGUGAGUUGGAAAGAUAAAGAUCUAAUUAAGGACAGAAAGGAUCAUACUAAACCAGAUGUUUUAAAAAGCAUGAAACUUAAAUACUGAGUUUAAUAGUCACACUAAGUUCUUACCCACUGUUUCCCAAUUAGAAUAAUGUUCUUAAAAAUAAGAACGCUGUUUAUUCCUUUCCUAAUGUUCUCCACCACUAUUCCCAUUUUAAAAAAUAGAAUUAUUCUAACUGCAGUAACUUCCGUAAAAAUCUGUGUGGCUCAGGCAUGAUUUCUAUUAGCCUGUGGCUUGCCCAAAAGCUCCUUCAGGUCUUAUAUGUUAUGAAACACUUUUCAGAGACUCCAGUGUUAACAGUUCUAUGGUAAAUUGAGUCACCAGUGCAGGCCACCUCCUGAACUCAAGCUGCCCUGAAGCCCUGCUAGAAGUACAGAUCUGAGCAGUGCCAUGAUUUUAAGAACAGCUGUACAUUCAGGAAAAUAAUGUGUCAGAUGAAUAAUUGUCCAAGUCUAAACAUAUAUUGCAAAUGUAUGUCAAAUAAACAAUAGAACAAAGCUAAAUAAAUUAAAUGCAUUGACAUUC